AUUUUGCAGCGUGGACGCAGGUCAAGCCACAGACCUGAGUCAGAAAGUCAGCACGGUGCAGUAUUGACACAUUAGCCCGGCUGGGAGACCCAGGUCCAGCAAUUGUAUUUACAUUCAAGCUCAGGUGUGGGAACACCAAGCCCACAAGUCCAGGUCCCUCAGACCUGGGCUUAGUAUGCAGUGUAGACAUCCUCAGUGUGGUAGGGGAACUCACUCCCUCUUCCCUCACAGCACCUGUAGGGAUGCUAGAUACCGGAAAGGGAUGGGGUGGGGUGGUGUCUUACCUACAGGAGAAGGCUGAGCAGAAUUCCUCCUGGGGACUCGGUCUGCAAUCUGGUGCCCCCAAGCCACCAUUCAGCACCCCUGAGGGCAUCAAGGAUCACAGCCUAGCUCUAUAUAGAGCUCUGUGUAGAGAUCACUUGAUCCACCAGGGAAACGAACCUACUUCUGGGAUGGAAUGUAGCCGCUGCUGGACACUGGCCAGCAAACCCCGCAUAACUCAAGCUGGGGCACUAACACUUUUUGUCUUCCUUCAAGGGCCUAGUCCAUGACACGAGUCUGCUACUGCCUGAGAGCUAACACACAUGGGGUGAAAUCCUGGUCCCGCUGAAGGCAACUGCAAAACUCUCAUCGAUAUCAGUGGAGGUGCUAGGAUUUCAGGAGAACCUGAAACCAUCACACAAUACACAUAACAGGACAACCCAGUUACAGUGCUGUACAAGAAACCAUGAAGGUCAGCCAUAGGCCUGGGGAGUGCUGUGCCUAGGGACGCGUAAGGUGUAAAUCCAGCUCUGAGGACACCAGAGUCUUGUGAGAGAGUUUAGGGUUAAGCUUGUUUAUUUUUUCCUUUACAUUCUUUUAAAAAACAAGCCACUCAUUAUGAUGGCUACUUCAUCUUCCUCAUGGCAGGGACCUGUGGGAACAAAGAGACCUGUUCCAUACAGAAAGAGCUCUCUGAUUGCAAAACUGCUCCCAGAACACAGAAGUGAACAAACAAAGAAACAUUCCGAGAACUGACCCCUACAGCCACACCAAUUUCAGCUGCAUUUACCCUCCAGCCGUCUAUUUCCAAGGCCAUAAUUAAAAGACUCAGGCCACUAAAUUGCAGGAACACACACGUCUGGGACACUGUAUCAUUUAGUGCAGAGCUUAUAGGAGUAGACGGCACCAACUGUGCUCUUCAGAUCCAAAAACACGGCCCCAAACUCAUGUCCCCCAGCUAAAUCAUAACAAAACAUUGUGUGACCAGCUGCGGAGAACAGGCAAGGUUACAUCUCACAGAACAAAGCACUUGUGUGUGUAAUUAUAGCGGUUACUCACACAUCUUGCAUCCAGCCAAAAGGUCUUAAUUAGCCAAGCAGCAGCUUUCAGGAUAACAGAACUUCUUGGCGAUCUGGUCUUAUUUCAAACAAACAUUAUUGCUGGCUGUUUGUACUGUUGGCUAAUGAAAUCAAGCAGUUAUAAUGGCUCCGCUAACGCCUUUGUCAGCCGGGUUCUUCUGUUCAUAACACCCAUAUUCUAAGCAAAGUUCAUCAUAAAGGCGUAAGGUUUGCAAUUAAUCAUUUGAUGUGCCAUUUGGACUGAAAUAUCUAUCCCGGAAGGUGCAUAUUUCUACACCAUUUGUAUUGUAUCUUUCUCAGUUUCUUGUCUCCAGGCAUGUAGAAACGGGCCUAGUAAUCACUGCUGACUACUGGCGGUGCAAAGUUGAUGUCAAGCUGUCUGCAGCGACUCAAGAGCAUGAGUACUAGCCUCCAGGUGGGCUAUUAGGGAACAGAACACAAACCCGAAAUUGGUUGUGAGUUCUAUACUUAGAUUUCACCUAGGGUGGCCAGAUGUCCCGAUUUUAUAGGGACAGUCCCAAUUUUGGGGUCUUUUUCUUAUAUGGGCGCCUAUUACCCCCCCCACCC